UACAGAGGGGGCAAGCGUUGUUCGGAAUUACUGGGCGUAAAGGGCGCGUAGGCGGCCUUCUAAGUCGAACGUGAAAUCCCUGGGCUCAACCCAGGAACUGCGUCCGAUACUGGAAGGCUUGAAGUCCGGGAGAGGGAUGCGGAAUUCCAGGUGUAGCGGUGAAAUGCGUAGAUAUCUGGAGGAACACCGGUGGCGAAGGCGGCAUCCUGGACCGGCAUUGACGCUGAGGCGCGAAAGCCAGGGGAGCAAACGGG
rnacentral:rRNA from 1 species